rnacentral:rRNA from 1 species
AACGAACGCUGGCGGCAUGCCUAACACAUGCAAGUCGAACGAACCCUUCGGGGUUAGUGGCGCGCGGGUGCGUAACGCGUGGGAAUCUGCCCUUUGCUUCGGAAUAACAGUUAGAAAUGACUGCUAAUACCGGAUGAUGUCUUCGGACCAAAGAUUUAUCGGCAAAGGAUGAGCCCGCGUAGGAUUAGGUAGUUGGUGGGGUAAAGGCCUACCAAGCCGACGAUCCUUAGCUGGUCUGAGAGGAUGAUCAGCCACACUGGGACUGAGACACGGCCCAGACUCCUACGGGAGGCAGCAGUGGGGAAUAUUGGACAAUGGGCGCAAGCCCUGAUCCAGCAAUGCCGCGUGAGUGAUGAAAGGGCCCUUUCGGGUUCGUAAAAGCUUCUUUUA